rnacentral:misc_RNA from 1 species
UUUCCGUAGGUGAACCUGCGGAAGGAUCAUUCUCAUAAAAUGGAUGUACGACGGUUUACGCUCAACCGCCACGUUGUGUACGCCCGAGUGAGGUCUUUUACACCCUUCUCCCCCCUCAGUACACUUCUGCGUCGGCCGCCCUUUGGCAUGUUCGGAGGGGGGUUUUCGCUUUACCAUAAAUCUUGUACACAUUUUUCUGAGAAUCUAUUGUUUAUUAGCUCUCACAAUCAAUACAACUUUCAACAACGGAUCUCUUGGCUCUC